ensembl:lncRNA
UUGGUCCUCCCUCUGGAACCCUUUUCUCUCAAAAAUCUGCCUGAGCCCUCCUUCACUCCCUCCAAUAUUUGCUCAAAUGCUUUUCAGUGAGGCUAUCUCUGAAUAUUUAAUUUACAAGGGAUCCUCUGCCCCCUAGCCCCUACUGUCCCUCUCCAUCUUCCCUGCUUUAAUUUUCUAUCUACUUACAAAGCACACUGUAGGUUCUUAUUUUGUCAUACUCUCUACUUACCCUCUCACUGGGAGGCAUAUUUUGGGGUGUGAGAUUUCUGGCUGGUUUCUGCACUGUCAUAUCUCCACUUUGGCUCACAGUAGGAAAUGAAUACUUGCUGAAUGAAUAAACCUAUUAUGAGUAUUGGAGUAUGCUGUUCUUUAAGCUCUGGACCACUGCAACGUGGAGACCUCCCUGUUCAUUUCCCCACCCCAAACUCCCUUAGAUGAUCAGGAUUUAGCCCCCCUUAGAAUAUCAAAACAAUGGGAGGAUCAUUGAACUUGAAACCAUUGCAUCUCAAGAAGCCUUGGGAUCUACCACUAGGUUUACAGGAAACCCAGAGCCAAGGGGAGUAAGUUGAUGCCACAAGGAAGUCUUAACCAGAUUCAGUAUGUGGCAUAUUCCACAGGACAAAUGACUUAGGUUUUUCAACAAAUGUAUAUCAUGGAAAAGAAAAAAAAAAAAAAAGUAAAGCAGUAGGAAACUGUUAUAGAUUAGAAGAGAGUUGACAGUGGUGUAUCAUCCAAACAAAAUGUGCCCACCUUGAUGGGAUCCUCAUUCAAGGAAUUUAGUGUAAAAGACAUUUUUGGGAGAAUUGGCAAAAAUAUGAAAGUGAAAUGGCUAUUGGAUGAUAAUGACAUCGUGGUCAUGUAUGUACAUACACAGAACCUAACAUGUAGGGCGUGGGGUGGGUAAUAUUAUACAGAAUUCGGCUCCACAGAAAAUGAUUUUGAGGGCCUGUGUUCUCAGUUCUCCCGAGGAGGGUAAUAGCUAAUACUAUCCUAGAUGCCAAAAUGUGCUGUGCUAAGUUGCUUCAGUCAUGUCCAGCUCUUUGAGGCCCUAUGGACUAUAACCUGCCAGGCUUCUCUGUCCAAGGGAUUCUCCAGGCAAAAAUACUGGAGUGGGUUGCCAUUUCUUUCUCCAGAGAUGCCAAGGAGGUAAGUUAAUUCAUUACAUAAAUGGAUGUCUUAGGCUAUUAAGACUUAGUUUUCUCAAGGCACCCCAGUUAAGAAGAGCUGGUAUGGGGAACUGACUCGAAGCCUGGCAUUUGCUUUAAAUUACUGGAGUGUGAGAUGGAUAAAACAAGGUUUGCAAAAUACUGAUAAUCUUUGGAUCUGGGUUAUGAAAACAUGGAGGUUCUUUAUGGUGUUUUCUGUCCAUUUUUAUAUGUGUAAACGCUUCCGUAAUAGUCACUACAAACUUAGUUUUUCAAGAUGAGGAGGAGGUGAAACAGUUCUUCUUUCUCAGGAGGAAAGAGGCCUAUUUUUUUUUUUUUCCUCUCUGUGUCUCUGUGCGGCGUGAAUUGGGGUGUGAAGGAAGAGAGGUGGGUCUUUUGCUUGGGAGGAGCGUUGUGUCUGUUCAGCCCUCCUUGCAGGCCCUUUUGUUCCUUCCUCCUAGGCUCACCCCGGACUGAUGGAGGGGAGCAGACUUGUCUUAGCUGGUAAGAGUGGGGAGAUGGCUUUUGGGGCUGGGGCUUCUACCGCUGGUACUGGGAGGUGAGUAUCAUAUAGAAGGAGAGCUGAUGGGCUGUGACGCGCUUACUUUCCACCAGGCACCUGUUGAAUUGGAAGGCAAAAAUUUCUACAAAUAUGUGUCCACUAAAGACACAAGACUGAAGACAAAUCACAAGCAAAUGGCCUGUGAUUUUUUUUUUUUCCCUUUGUCCACUCUCUUAGUCCUGAGUUCAGCGCUCCCCUCACCUGUUCUGAGAGGCUGGCACCAUGGAGUAGCUGCCCUCUCUGUGGUGGGGAUUCAACACCCCUCACAGAUAAAGUUCUGUUCUCCAUGUUUAGGAAACCUCAGGGAAAUGUACUCAGCCAUUUCACAGUCUUCUCCAUUAGUGCCUGCCUGGCUGGGAAAAGAUCUAAUCUCUGUUAAGAGACCAUUUUGUUUGUUUGUUUGUUUGUUUGCUGUGUGGGUCUGGAACAGGCAGGAAUGAAGGCCCGUUUAUCUUUAGGGCUCUGAUCUGGCAAGAUUCCCCCCUCCCCACCAGGCAAACACUUGUCAGUGCAGCCACUCAGUUACUUGGCGAGUCUCUCAUGGUUUCCUUUCACUCCCUCCUGAGUCAACAGCUACAGGUUGGUUUCCAUUGCUUAUCACGUUUCUGAUUUUUUCUGCCCUUUUGAGUAAAACUGGGGACUUGUCAGAAGUGUUUUGACACAACGACUAAGGUUCUGACCUCUGCUGGCUCCCGUACAGUGGAGCUCAGUGAUCGGGACCUGAAACACUGUGUCUGACAGCAGCCUGGACCAGCUCUGCUGGGGACCCUGGGAGGUGAGCCAGCUGCACACACCUCGAGCACUAUUGAUGCUGCUGGGAUUAAAUGGCCUUCACUCAAUUACAGGAACUUUACAUUUUGUAUUGAUGAAGUAUUUAGCACAUAUGAAGUCUAUCAGUAUGUCCACACAGUCCUGUGGAGGCAAAUUUUAAAGUAUACUUAUCCAUACUUCACAGAUGAAGACGCAAGGCUUACAAAUGAUGGCAAAACUGGUCUAACAUCCUGUAACAUCUGACAGAAAAGCCAGGAUUUGAAUCUGGGCUUUUGAGAUGCCAGAGCCUGAGCUCUUUCUCCGAAGUUGGGGCUUCUCAAACUAGUGGUGGUGAAGGACAGGAUUUCUGCCCUAACCUCUCCCACAUCCAUAGUUUUUAAAAUACAAUGAAAAGGAGUUGCUAGAAUAAUGAAAUGAAAAAGGCAUUUAAAAUAACAAGCCAUAUUUUAAAAGUUACUAUUAGACUCGACAGGCAUAAAAUUACUCUUUCAAAUUACUGUAAAAGUUGAUUACACUGAAUUUCUAUGCUUUUCCCAUCCUGGAUCUUGAUAAAGCUUUCUCAGACUAGCACUUUUGUUGGCAUCAGGAUCACCUGGGGUGCUUGCUAAAUGCAGUUUUCCUAGCCGCAUCUCUACUUGGAUCAGAAUGACUGAGGGUAGAAUUCAGAAAUCUACACUUUAACAACUAAUUUCAAUGAAGUGCUCUAAAUCUGAUCAUCCUUGUUCUCUGCAGUGCUGCCUCCUCUCUACAGAUUAUAGAGGGUACAGUAACAAGUGAAGUGAACAUAAUGUCUAUUUUAGUCUCCCAAGCUGAGCCCUACUCUUCUUUUUAGUUUGUUUUUAAGUAUUAGAGACUUCCUUUCUGCAGAAGCUCACCAACAGAGCCUGUUUCUGAACUCAUUUUAGUGCAUGUCAGUGUCAACAAAAAAGUAUAGUCACAACCUGAAAGCAGAGAGUUAUUUCAUUUAGUGGGAAUGUUGAAGACUCCGAGCCUGGGAGACAGCAUCUCAGUAGCUUUGAAUGAAACUGCUCCAAGAAGGCAGGGGGAACGUCAGGCUAUAUAAGUUUGAAACAAAGGGAGCAGGCAGUCUGAACAUCAAAGAUGAGGAAUCAAGUUAAGGAAUUUAGCUUUCUGCCUACAGGGAGAUGCAAGCCUCUGGGCUCACUGACUUCAUUCCUUGCCAAUCCUGUCUCCUUGCUCAUCUUGCUUCUUGCACUCCCCCAGCUCCUCAGCAGUCACUAUGAGGGGUGGCAGCAUCCGCUGGAUGGAGGUUUGGGGAGCCCUCAUUCACAUUUGGAGACCAGAAAUCGCUGAUGGUUGUGACAUUUCUUGUUGAUUAAUAUGGCAGGAAAUAUUUUCAUUUCACAUCAGCAAAGGUGUUUUGGGUGCAAACUAGACGGGGAACAGGUCACAAGGUGCCCACAUCCAGGAGAGAGGGAGUAUCACUAGAACAAAGUCCAGAAGCUGGGCACUUCUGUGUGUAGAGGUCGGGGAGAGGAGCGGGAACCAGUGUCAGAGACAACUGAGGAGGAGUGAACAGUAAGGGGAGAAAAAAAAUGUGGGUUUUGGAAGCCAGAAAGGGGAUGUGACCAACUGUGUAAAAUACGGCUGAUGGGCUGAAUAAGACAAAGACAGCCCUGAGCAUCUGAUUGGUAGCAUGGAGUCAUGGAGGUGUUUGGGAUGUGGCAAGAGCAGUCUUACAGAGAUGAGGGAGGCUUCAUGGAGGGGCUUCAGGUGAGAAGGGGAAGAGGGAAAUUGGAAACAAUGACUCCAGAGAGUUCUUUCAAGCAGUUUUACUGUAAAGGGAAGAAAAAGGUCUAGAGCUUUCAUUGGAGGGACAGCAAAAAGGAGAUUAUUUAGACCUCACGUAGUGGCUAAAUAGGCAACUUCUGUAAUGUCCUGUAUCUUUUUUUCAGUUAAUUCCUCCAGUAAAACAGAAACACUAUUGACCAUAACUUUUUUUGUUUCAAGCUCUUUGAAACUCUCCUUAAUCUCAAAUGAUGUUGUCUAAGAAGAGUCUGCAGAUCACCCUCAUUACUUACAUAGCUUAAUUUGAAUAUAUUUGAACAAAACAUCAUUGCAUUUUUUUUCACAUUUGCUUUAUUUUUGGCUGAAUUACUUUAAAGUAAAUUUCAUUUCUACUUCAAAUACAUAGUUUUUUUUCUAACAUAAUCACAUAUAUAAUCAUGAUAGUCCUAUUAUUAUAUCUAGCAAAAUUAACAGUGAUGUCUUAAUAUGAUACCUAAUCUAUAUUCAGAUAACCCAGUUUGUCGCCACGGUUGCUCUGUUCAAACCAUAGAUCUACAGGCUGCCUGUGAUUGUUGUCUUUUCUUAAGCUAUUUGGGUUUCGUGUGUGUGUGUGUGUGUGCCCAUUGACUUGAUGAAACUUGUUCAGUUGUUCUAUAGAGUGUCCCACUUUCUGGAUAUAUCUGAUAAAUUAGGGUGUCUUUUAACUUGUUCUUCUUUCUCUUGUAUUUCCUAAAAAACUAAAAUUGCAUAUACAGAUUAAACAUCUUAGAUAAGAAUUUUUCGUAGGUGGUGCUGUGUGCUUCACAUUGUCUCACUUCAAAAAGCACAAACUAUUGAGGUGUCCCAUUGUUAGUGAUGCUAAGACUGAUCUGGGUCAGGCGGUGGUUGCUUCAAUUAGGAGAGUUUUUUUUUAAAGAUAGGAGAAAUAAUAGCAUGCCUUUAUGCUGAUGAUCUUUGACAGAAGGCUAUCUAUUGAAACAGAAGUAAAAAAGAGGGAUUUUCAAGAACGUCCUUAAGUAGACAAGAGUGUGUAGAAUCUAUGGAAAAAAUUGGAUAUUGCAAGUGUUGAAUGCAGCCAAUUUAUUCAUAGUAAUGAGAUCAUUUGGGCAUAAGUGCAGGUAAGGUGAAUAGCUGUUGUACAAAGGCAUGUGUGUGAAAGUUCUGUUCUGUUAGCUUCCUUUUUUUGUUCUGUGAAUAAGUAGCAAGUUCAUCAGGUGAGGGUAAGACGAAUUUCUAGGGGGAGGAAGUCAUACAGUCCUCUAGGAGAGUGGCAGAUGAAUUGAUUGGAAACGUAGCAUAUCAUUGCUAUGAAGCAUUAAGGAACUACUUGCAGUUAGUAGUCAUGAACUUGAAGUGAAAUUGAUGAGCAUCGUGUGAGUUUCUUUAACCAUGUUCAGCUGCAUACGUGCAGGUUGCAGGAGUACAGAGAGUUGAAUUUAACCAAACUUGGGGUUUAUCCAGCCAUGCACGAUGAGAGAGGUCAGUUGAAUGACUGACCAGGGAAUCUGAGGUGGAUAGAAAGGAAAGGGAGGGCAAGGAGGAAGUGAGAGGCAGUGAGAAGGUGGUAGGAUCAAAUACAGAAGACUGUCAGAGUUGGGUACCGGUUGGACUAAGCUGCAGAGAUGAGAGUGGUGAUGAGAGAGGUACCUGAAAUCGAGACUAUGAAGGGAGUAUAUUUUUUGGAAAUGACAGGAUCAAAGAUAUACACUUGGAAUGCGUUGCUGAGGUCACAGUCUUUGGAACUGAGGAGAUCAAAAAACUGAGAGACCAGUUGUUGUUCAGUCAUGUACUUGUGUCCAGCUCUUUACAACCCGAUGGACUGCAGCACGGCAGGCUUCCCUCUCCUUCACUAUUUCCCAGAGUUUGCUCAAACCCAUGUCCAUUGAGUUUAUGAGACCAUCCAACCAUCUCAUCUUUUGUUGUCCCCUUCUUCUGCCCUCAAUCUUCUCAGCAUCAGGGUCUUUUUCAAUGAGUUGGCUCUUCGCGUCAGGUGGCCAAAGUAUUGGAGCUUCAGCUUCAGCACCAGUCCUUCCAAUGAAUAUUCAGGGUUGAUUUCCUUUAGGAUUGACUGGUUUAAUCUCUUUGCUGUCCAAGGGACUCUCAAGAGUCUUCUCCAGCACUGCAGUUCAAAAGCAUCAAUUCUUUGGGGCUCAGCCCUCUUUAUGGUCCAACUCUCACAUCUGUACAUGACUCCUGGAAAGACCCAGAGCUUUGUAUGGACCUUUGUUGGCAAAGUAAUGUCUCUGCUGUUUAAUACACUGCAUACGUUUUCAUUGCUUUUUUUCCAAGGAGCAAGUAUCUUUUAAUUUCAUGACUGUAGUCACUCUGCACGGUGAUUUUGAAGCCCAAGAAAAUAAAGAGACCAGAGGACUAGAAUAAUUAUGUAAAUGGAUAUUACUGCUAUGAACAGUUACGAUAGAAAUAGUGUUGGAAAGAACUAUAGUAAGCCAGGAGCUAGCAUAUUCAAGGAAUGAGGGAGAGUGUCCUGGGUGGAGGAGAAGGUGGGCAGCAAGGUGGGCAGUAGGCAGCAUGGCCUUCACAAGCUUGUCAUGAGGAUGAAAUGAGUGGGUGCAUGUGGUGACGUUCCCAGCACUGAGCAUAGGCUCAGCAAGCACUACUGGUUUUCAUUUUGAGUCUGUGUGAAUCUAGAGAUCAAAGCUUAAAACACUGAGUUUAUUUUUGCAAGUAGGUUGAUUGCUCUUCAUUUUAAGACCUUUCUAACAGGCAGAGCUGCUCACACAGCCACUUUUGACCUGGGGAAGUGGUGAAUUUCCUGUCACUCAGUACAUUCAGCAGGCAGAAUGAACAUCUGUCGGUAAUAGCGCUGUAAAGGGGACUCCAGCAAUUGAAGGACCUGCCUGCCUGCCUCCUGGUCAUGAAAAGCUCAGACACUCCCAGCCUAGAUAUUUGGAUAUGUAGAACUUUUAGUCACAGUGAUGUAUGUACAGGUAACAUUUUGUUUCACUUUCUUUGUUAUAAUAUUUUAAGCAUUUUACUUCAUGUUGCUACUUAAAAUACAUAUACCGUUAUAUAUAUAUAUUCUAUCUGAUUGUAAGUACCAUAGUUUAAUUAUUUUGCUAUUGUUGUAAGCUUAAUUAUUAAUUUUAGAUUUUUUCACCAUUAUAAAUCUCUUUGAAACUAAAAGCUGUUUUUUCUUUUUGCACAUGCAAAUUGCUUCAUAAAACUCAUUCUUUGUCUCAUGAAUCUUCUUCCAGUUCUCACCAAAGCUGUGUAAGGUAGAGAAUUAUCUUAUAUGUGAGGAAAUAGAAAUAUACAACGUUUUCCCCUUGGAAUUAUUUAUUCAAUCUUAUUUCCUG